GGCGCGCAAAUUACCCACUCCCGGCACGGGGAGGUAGUGACGAAAAAUAACGAUACGGGACUCAUCCGAGGCCCCGUAAUCGGAAUGAGUACACUUUAAAUCCUUUAGCAAGGAUCAAUUGGAGGGCAAGUCUGGUGCCAGCAGCCGCGGUAAUUCCAGCUCCAAUAGCGUAUAUUAAAGUUGUUGCGGUUAAAAAGCUCGUAGUCGAAUUUGUGUCUCAUGCCGCUGGUUCAUCGUUCGCGGUGUAAACUGGCGUGACAUGGGACGUCCUGCCGGUGGGCUUAGCUCUUAACGGGGCGGCCCUAUAUAAUCCUGCCGCGUUGCUCUUAAUCGAGUGUCGAGGUGGGCCGGCUCAUUUACUUUGAACAAAUUAAAGUGCUUAAAGCAGGCUAAAAUUUUGCCUGAAUACGUGUGCAUGGAAUAAUGGAAUAGGACCUCGGUUCUAUUUUGUUGGUUUUAGGAACACGAGGUAAUGAUUAAUAGGAACGGAUGGGGGCAUUCGUAUUGCGACGUUAGAGGUGAAAUUCUUGGAUCGUCGCAAGACGAACAUAAGCGAAAGCAUUUGCCAAAAACGUUUUCAUUGAUCAAGAACGAAAGUUAGAGGUUCGAAGGCGAUCAGAUACCGCCCUAGUUCUAACCAUAAACGAUGCCAGCCAGCGAUCCGCCGAUGUUCCUCCGAUGACUCGGCGGGGAGCUUCCGGGAAACCAAAGCUUUUGGGUUCCGGGGGAAGUAUGGUUGCAAAGCUGAAACUUAAAGGAAUUGACGGAAGGGCACCACCAGGAGUGGAGCCUGCGGCUUAAUUUGACUCAACACGGGAAACCUCACCAGGCCCAGACACUGGAAGGAUUGACAGAUUGAGAGCUCUUUCUUGAUUCAGUGGGUGGUGGUGCAUGGCUGUUCUUAGUUGGUGGAGCGAUUUGUCUGGU
rnacentral:rRNA from 1 species